AGUGAACGCUGGCGGUAGGCCUAACACAUGCAAGUCGAACGGCAGCACAGGAGAGCUUGCUCUCUGGGUGGCGAGUGGCGGACGGGUGAGGAAUACAUCGGAAUCUACUCUUUCGUGGGGGAUAACGUAGGGAAACUUACGCUAAUACCGCAUACGUCCUUCGGGGGAAAGCAGGGGAUCGCAAGACCUUGCGCGAUUGAAUGAGCCGAUGUCGGAUUAGCUAGUUGGCGGGGUAACGGCCCACCAAGGCGACGAUCCGUAGCUGGUCUGAGAGGAUGAUCAGCCACACUGGAACUGAGACACGGUCCAGACUCCUACGGGAGGCAGCAGUGGAGAAUAUUGGACAAUGGGCGCAAGCCUGAUCCAGCCAUACCGCGUGGGUGAAGAAGGCCUUCGGGUUGUAAAGCCCUUUUGUUGGGAAAGAAAAGCAUUCGGUUACUACCCGAGUGUUCUGACGGUACCCAAAGAAUAAGCACCGGCUAACUUCGUGCCAGCCGCCGCCGUAACAC
rnacentral:rRNA from 1 species